AUUGAACGCUGGCGGCAGGCCUAACACAUGCAAGUCGAACGAGAGGCGGACGGGUGAGUGAUGUAUGGGGAUCUGCCUGAUGGCGGGGGCUAACUACUGGAAACGGUAGCUACUACCGCAUACCAUCAGAUGAACCCAUAUGGGAUUAGCUUGUAGGUGAGGUAACGGCUAACCUAGGAGACGAACCCUAGCUGGUCUGAGAGGAUGAUCAGACAAAAUGGGAGUGAGACACGGCCCAGACUCCUACGGGAGGAAGCAGUGGGGAAUAUUGGACAAUGGGCGAAAGCCUGAUGCAGCAAUGCCGCGUGUAUGAAGAAGGCCUUCGGGUUGUAAAGUACUUUCAGUCGGGAGGCGUUACCGACAGAAGAAGCACCGGCUAACUACGUGCCAGCAGCCGCGGUAAUAC
rnacentral:rRNA from 1 species